rnacentral:ncRNA from 1 species
CCCAUCUCAAAGGGGUGCCCAAGCGGGCUGAGAUUACACCCAUUGAACCUGGGCAGGUCAUGCUGCCAAGGGAUAAUUUUUACUAACAUC